UACGUAGGGGGCAAGCGUUGUCCGGAAUCAUUGGGCGUAAAGAGCGUGUAGGCGGCCCGGUAAGUCCGCUGUGAAAGUCCAGGGCUCAACCCUGGGAUGCCGGUGGAUACUGUCGGGCUCGAGUCCGGAAGAGGAGUGUGGAAUUCCUGGUGUAGCGGUGAAAUGCGCAGAUAUCAGGAGGAACACCAAUGGCGAAGGCAGCACUCUGGGACGUGACUGACGCUGAGACGCGAAAGCGUGGGGAGCAAAAGGG
rnacentral:rRNA from 1 species